UACGGAGGGGGCUAGCGUUGUUCGGAUUUACUGGGCGUAAAGGGCGCGCAGGCGGCUAUCCAAGUCAGGCGUGAAAGCCCCGGGCUUAACCUGGGAGGUGCGUCUGGGACUGGGUGGCUAGAGUUCGGGAGAGGAGAGUGGAAUUCCCAGUGUAGAGGUGAAAUUCGUAGAUAUUGGGAAGAACACCGGUGGCGAAGGCGGCUCUCUGGACCGAGACUGACGCUGAGGCGCGAAAGCGUGGGGAGCAAACAGG
rnacentral:rRNA from 1 species